UAAAUCCUUCAGUUUCAUUUUUACUGUUAGGCAUUGUGCUAAGACAAUGAAGAAUAUGAAAUGAAGAGCAUUAGGCUUUUCUUAUAGGAUAUGCUGUGCUUUAAAACGUAUUUUAUUGAUCCUAAAAGUACAAUAUCAAUUAUUGACAUUUUUUUUUGUUGAGGAUCAAUCUUGGAUUAAAUGGCAAUGUGAAGAAAAGGUUUUCAUAUGUACUAUGUCUAAAAGCAGAAACAGAUUGCCUUCCUCGCGUGAACAUUAGAAAACCUUUUCUGAUGGUUAAACAUUAUGUCUGAAAUAUAUCUAAGUUGUACCAGCCACCAUAGCGCUUUUUGGUGAACCAAAGAAGUCCUACAGUGAAAUCAAACUUUGAGCAUAGUCUGCAUUAGUUUUAUACAAUAUCCCCCUAACGCCAUUUUUUUUUCCUGAUUUUAGAGUCACAUAUAUUCUGUCUGUCAACUACAAUGCAAAGUACAAGUAACGGAUUCAAGCAAGGAUGUUGGAGUGUGGAAAUAAUUCAUGUGAAUUGCCAAUAGGCUGGUGGGAAUCUGUUUUCUCCACACGAAGGCAAAUCCUGCGGCAUCAGAGCCGGUGAACUUCAUUU